rnacentral:rRNA from 1 species
UACGUAGGGCGCAAGCGUUGUCCGGAAUUAUUGGGCGUAAAGAGCUCGUAGGCGGUUUGUCGCGUCUGCUGUGAAAACCUAAGGCUCAACCUUGGGCUUGCAGUGGGUACGGGCAGACUAGAGUGCGGUAGGGGUGACUGGAAUUCCUGGUGUAGCGGUGGAAUGCGCAGAUAUCAGGGAGGAACACCGAAUGGCGAAGGGCAGGUCAGCCUGGGCC